rnacentral:misc_RNA from 1 species
GAUGAAGAACGUAGCGAAAUGCGAUACGUAAUGUGAAUUGCAGAUUUCAGUGAAUCAUCGAAUCUUUGAACGCACAUUGCGCCCGCUAGUAUUCUGGCGGGCAUGCCUGUUCGAGCGUCAUUUCAACCAUCAAGCCCUAGGCUUGCGUUGGAGCCCUGCGGCUGCCGCAGGCUCCCAAAUCCAGUGGCGGGCUCGUCGUCGUACCGAGUGCAGUAAACAUCCUCGCUCAGGGAACGUGACGGGUUCUUGCCGUGAAACCCCCCACAUAUCAAGGUUGACCUCGGAUCAGGUAGGAAUACCUGCUGAACUUAAGCAUGUCAAUAAGCGGAGGA